UGGGGAAUCUUGCGCAAUGGGCGGAAGCCUGACGCAGCGACGCCGCGUGCGGGACGAAGGCCUUCGGGUCGUAAACCGCUUUCAGCAGGGACGGGGCCCUCUGGGUGACGGUACCUGCAGAAGAAGCCCCGGCUAACUACGUGCCAGCAGCCGCGGUAAUACGUAGGGGGCGAGCGUUAUCCGGAUUCAUUGGGCGUAAAGCGCGCGUAGGCGGCCUGUUAGGUCGGGGGUCAAAUACCGGGGCUCAACCCGGUCGCCCCGAUACCGGCAGGCUUGAGUCUGGUAGGGAAGGCGGAAUUCCCAGUGUAGCGGUGGAAUGCGCAGAUAUUGGGAAGAACACCGGCGGCGAAGGCGGCCUUC
rnacentral:rRNA from 1 species